UACGUAGGGUGCAAACGUUAUCCGGAUUUACUGGGCGUAAAGCGCUCGUAGGUUGUUUUGUAAGUUGAAUAUUAAAUACUCCGGCUCAACUGGAGAAAAGUAUUCAAAACUACAUUACUAGAGUUAUGCAGGGGUAGAUGGAACUUACGGUGUAGCAGUGAAAUGCGUAGAUAUCGUAAGGAACGCCAAUGGUGAAGACAGUCUACUGGGCAUUAACUGACACUGAGGAGCGAAAGCGUGGGGAG
rnacentral:rRNA from 1 species